rnacentral:lncRNA from 1 species
AUGGUUUCUCCUCGUUCCCAGAAUAAAAUGCCUCCCCUUUGCACGAGGCUGGAGGCUGUCUGUCACCGGCCCUCACGCUCCUGCUCCAGGCAGCCUCGCUUGGUUUCCCUGAGUGGACCACGCGUUCCAACAAAACCAGGCUCCUGGCUUUUUCUUGUUUUUCCUGUGCCCCUGUGUUCAGCAGGGGUGGUCCCCUGCCAUCUUGCCUCUGCACCCACCUGCGGCAGCCUCAGCACCUCCACUGCCCUCUCCCAAGACCCUGGCAGGGAGCAGCCCCCAUACCCAGCCCUGCCCCUGGGCCAGACUCCCACACGCCCGUCCCCCUCGGGUGGGACUUUUUGUUGUGUCACGGUUCUUGUGGGGCAUCGUCUACCACCUCUUGGGGUACGAGCUCCAAGAGAGAGGCUUAGGAAGGGAGGAGGAGCGCAAAUACAUAUUUGGUGCCUGCUGUCUGCCAGAUACCAUGUUAGGCUCUCGUCGGAGAGUUCAUGGCGUUCUUUCCCGUGGCUGGUAAGUGGCCGCUUGUGGUUGAGCCCCGGCCUCCCGCAACCUUUGCGUUUUUCUCUCUGCAUCCUCAGUGUUUGCAAGAUGCCUAUGAGGAGGUGGCUCCCCGCUAUGUGCCUAUUUAAGGAGUUUGUAAGUCCCGUGUGGGAGCUGGGGGGCUGGUCUGCUUGUGUCCGUAGCUCUUCCUCCCGUGCCUACCUCUUUAACCUUCUCCUCUUCUUUGCGACCAGGCUCACUCAAGAUGCUGGCUUGUUUGUAGCUGAGAUUGAGGUAUUAACAAGCUCCAGGUCUUCUGGUUGCCUUGCCCUAGAAGAGGUGGUGGAGGUGGGCUGGUUCCGGCUUCCUCAGAGCGCAGUGCCAGGGCAGGGAGCCGGGACCUCGGAGCUGCACAGACCUAGGUCUCGUCUCCUGCCUCUUGUUAACUCGGUGGUCUUAGACAAGCCGUUUGAUUGCUCUACGUCUUCUAGUCCUUGGCUGGUGAGAUGGAGCCACAGCAAUCCGUACUGUGGGUAUUCCUAG